GGCGACCGCUAUUGGAGUUCGAUUAAGCCAUGCGAGUAGAAAGAAAUUAGAUUCUUUGCAUACUGCUCAGUAACACGUGGAUAACCUGCCCUACACAGGGGGAUAAUCUCGGGAAACUGAGGAUAAUACCCCAUAGACCACUACGCCUGGAACGGUGAGUGGUUGAAAGCUCAGGCGGUGUAGGAUGGGUCUACGGCGUAUCAGGUCGUAGGGGGUGUAAUGGACCUCCUAGCCAUCGACGCGUACGGGUUGUGGGAGCAAUAGCCCGGAGACGGAUUCUGAGACACGAAUCCGGACCCUACGGGGUGCAGCAGGCGCGAAAACUUCACACUGCAGGAAACUGUGAUGAGGGAACUCCAAGUGACUGCCCAAUGGGUAGCCUUUUCUUGAAUCUUAAUAGUUCUUGGAAUAAGGGCUGGGAAAGACCGGUGCCAGCCGCCGCGGUAAUACCGGCAGCUCAAGUGGUCGUCGCUUUUAUUGGGCCUAAAACGUCCGUAGCCUGUUUGGUAAAUCUGUGGGUAAAUCAACGAGCUUAACUCGUUGAAUUCUGCAGAGACUGCCAGACUAGGGACCGGGAGAGGUAUGAGGUACUCUGGGGGUAGGGGUAAAAUCCUGUCAUCCUCAGAGGACCACCUGUUGCGAAGGCGUCAUACUGGAACGGAUCCGACGGUCAGGGACGAAGCCUAGGGGCACGAACCGGACUAGAUACCCGGGUAGUCCUAGGUGUAAACGCUGUGGAUUUGGUGUGUGGGGUCCGCAAUGGGCCCCAUGUGCCGGAGUGAAGAUGUUAAAUCCACUGCCUGGGGAGUACGGUCGCAAGGCUGAAACUUAAAGGAAUUGGCGGGGGAGCACUGCAACGGGAGGAGCGUGCGGUUU
rnacentral:rRNA from 1 species